ACGCUGGCGGCACGCCUAACACAUGCAAGUCGAACGAAGUAGCAAUACUUAGUGGCAGACGGGUGAGUAACAUGUAGGUAUCUACCCUAUGGCCUGGAAUAACACGAGGAAACUUGUGCUAAUACCGGAUAAGUCUUUACGGAGAAAGCUUUAUGCACCAUUGGAUGAGCCUGCACUUGAUUAGUUUGUUGGUAGGGUAAUGGCCUACCAAGACUAUGAUCAAUAGCUGAUUUGAGAGGAUGAUCAGCCACAUUGGGACUGAGACACGGCCCAAACUCCUACGGGAGGCAGCAGUGGGGAAUCUUGCACAAUGGAGGAAACUCUGAUGCAGCGAUGCCGCGUGAGUGAAGAAGGCCCUUGGGUUGUAAAGCUCUUUCGUCGGGGAAGAAAAUGACUGUACCCGAAUAAGAAGGUCCGGCUAACUUCGUGCCAGCAGCCGCGGUAAUACGAAGGGACCUAGCGUAGUUCGGAAUUACUGGGCUUAAAGAGUUCGUAGGUGGUUGAAAAAGUUGGUGGUGAAAUCCCAGAGCUUAACUCUGGAACUGCCAUCAAAACUUUUCAGCUAGAGUUUGAUAGAGGAAAGCAGAAUUUCUAGUGUAGAGGUGAAAUUCGUAGAUAUUAGAAAGAAUACCAAUUGCGAAGGCAGCUUUCUGGAUCAAUACUGACACUGAGGAACGAAAGCAUGGGUAGCGAAGAGGAUUAGAUACCCUCGUAGUCCAUGCCGUAAACGAUGUGUGUUAGACGUUGGAAAUUUAUUUUCAGUGUCGCAGCGAAAGCGAUAAACACACCGCCUGGG
rnacentral:rRNA from 1 species